AAAGGGUACAAAAUACUUAAAAAGGCUUAAAAAUAUAUUCUAAUGGUGGGGAAACUCAUAAAAAUCAUCUAACGAAUAAAUGUGUAUAUUUUCAAAAAGAAAAUUAUAAUUACAAUAUUUGCAACAAAUGACUGUAUAGCAAUGAAGUCGGCACCAAUCGC